GAGCUAUCUGCUCAGCUUAAUAGCAGGACGCUGGCAACAGGCACUCCCUGCUCCAGUCCAGCCUGCGCGCUCCACCGCCGCUAUGGUCUCCGUGCCUACCACCUGGUGCUCCGUUGCGCUAGCCCUGCUCGUGGCCCUGCAUGAAGGGAAGGGCCAGGCUGCUGCCACCCUGGAGCAGCCAGCGUCCUCAUCUCAUGCCCAAGGCACCCACCUUCGGCUUCGCCGUUGCUCCUGCAGCUCCUGGCUCGACAAGGAGUGCGUCUACUUCUGCCACUUGGACAUCAUCUGGGUGAACACUCCUGAACAGACAGCUCCUUACGGCCUGGGAAACCCGCCAAGACGCCGGCGCCGCUCCCUGCCAAGGCGCUGUCAGUGCUCCAGUGCCAGGGACCCCGCCUGUGCCACCUUCUGCCUUCGAAGGCCCUGGACUGAAGCCGGGGCAGUCCCAAGCCGGAAGUCCCCUGCAGACGUGUUCCAGACUGGCAAGACAGGGGCCACUACAGGAGAGCUUCUCCAAAGGCUGAGGCCUGGAAGUGGACUUUUUAGAGGGUUUGAAGGCUCAUGACUGGGAAGGACCACAGUUGUUCGUUCAGGCUGUGCUGAAUGGAGCAUCUCACACAUGCUGGGGUCCAGAGGGGCCAACUGCCCAGCCUGCUCCCUCUCUGCUGCCCAGAUUGCAUCUCCUCCCUGGUGCCUCAGUGGACAUUUCCACAGUCAAGAGCCUCUUUGCCAAGCGACAACAGGAGGCCAUGCGGGAGCCUCGGUCCACACAUUCCAGGUGGAGGAAGAGAUAGUGUCGUGAGCUGGAGGAACAUUGGGAAGGAAGCCCGCGGGGAGAGAGGAGGAGAGAAGUGGCCAGGGCUUGUGGACUCUCUGCCUGCUUCCUGGACCGGGGCCUUGGUCCCAGACAGCUGGACCCAUUUGCCAGGAUUGGCACAAGCUCCCUGGUGAGGGAGCCUCGUCCAAGGCAGUUCUGUGUCCUCGCACUGCCCAGGGAAGCCCUCGGCCUCCAGACUGCGGAGCAGCCUCCAGUGCUGGCUGCUGGCCCACAGCUCUGCUGGAAGAACUGCAUGGGGAGUACAUUCAUCUGGAGGCUGCGUCCUGAGGAGUGUCCUGUCUGCUGGGCUACAAACCAGGAGCAACCGUGCAGCCACGAACACGCAUGCCUCAGCCAGCCCUGGAGGCUGGAUGGCUCCCCUGAGGCUGGCAUCCUGGCUGGCUGUGUCCUCUCCAGCUUUCCCUCCCCAGAGUUCUUGCACCCUCAUUCCCUCGGGACCCUCCCAGUGAGAAGGGCCUGCUCUGCUUUUCCUGUCUGUAUAUAACUUAUUUGCCCUAAGAACUUUGAGAAUCCCAAUUAUUUAUUUUAAUGUAUUUUUUAGACCCUCUAUUUACCUGCGAACUUGUGUUUAUAAUAAAUGAGGAAACAUA